AGUGAACGCUGGCGGUAUGCCUAACACAUGCAAGUCGAACGGCCGCACAGUAAGAGUUUGCUCUUACGGGUGGCGAGUGGCGGACGGGUGAGGAAUACAUCGGAUUCUACUUUUUCGUGGGUGAUAACGUAGGGAAACUGACGCUAAUACCGCAUACGACCUACGGGUGAAAGCAGGGGAUCUUCGGACCUUGCGCGAUUGAAUUAGCCGAUGUCGGAUUAGCUAGUUGGCGGGGUAAAGGCCCACCAAGGCGACGAUCCGUAGCUGGUCUGAGAGGAUGAUCAGCCACACUGGAACUGAGACACGGUCCAGACUCCUACGGGAGGCAGCAGUGGGGAAUAUUGGACAAUGGGCGCAAGCCUGAUCCAGCCAUACCGCGUGGGUGAAGAAGGCCUUCGGGUUGUAAAGCCCUUUUGUUGGGAAAGAAAAGCAGCAGGUUAAUACCCCGCUGUUCUGACGGUACCCAAAGAAUAAGCACCGGCUAACUUCGUG
rnacentral:rRNA from 1 species